CCAGGCCCAGCCCUGGCGGGAGGGAGCGCGCGCGGGUGCCACCCACCGUCCGCCCUCCCAAGCUAAGUCCCCUUUGUUCCCCCACCCGGAAAGAGGCCGCCGCACCGGGGAAGCACCCAGCUACAGUGUUCUCCAGGCGCCGAUCCUGCGCGCUCGUCUUGGUCCCGGAGAUGACCGAGUCCCGGCACACGGACCGCCACGACCACUAGGAGGGAGAGCCAGCUCAUCAUCGCCCACUACCGGUCCAGGCAGGACCAUGCGACCCCCGGGCCUCCGCAAGCCCACCGCCUCACAGGCCUGCAGCCCUGCCCCCUGCCCCUGCCCCCUCAUCUCCCUGAAAGUUUGUUAAGUGUUCUCCCCUGGGAGGGGGCCACCCAGAACAUUGAAAAGGGAGCAAGAAUCCCAAAGGCAAGCCUUCCGUCCUCUCCUUCUGCCAGUGUCCAGCUCUUCUGGCCCCAAGGAGCUUCCAGUGAGGACUUUGAUUCCUAAAGAACAGAAGCCUGGGGGCCUCCCUCUCCUCUCACCCUGAAACCUGGAGUCCUGGAGCUGUGCUAGGCAGAGAUUAUACACACUGGAGUCAUUCAAGACCUGCCUCUGCUGCUGCUAAGUUCAGGGCCUUGGGUGGAUGUGAGGAUACACAAGUCGGUGGAUACCUGGCGUGGGGCCCGGCGCACACAGGAGCCAGGUGUUGAGAGGCCAGUGCUGCUGAAUGAAUGAGUGGAUGCCCUCCCCACACAGAAGCGACUUCUCUUCGUCAACACUUGUGACUCACAUCUUGUCAAAUCUCUCCAGCUUGAAAACCUUCCUCCUGCAGCUGCUGAUUGGAGAGCAUCCACAUUUCAUGGCCAGAGACCUGAAUUCCGGGGCCAGCCGAUUGUCCACGAGCUGGAUGAUCACCCCUUUGAGCCAGCUGUUCCCCAUGGUCGUGCGGGGCUUGCCGUCCCUCAGGCUGACUCUGAGGAUUAGACGCGUUUUAUCUUGUACAGGGAACACAGGGCAUCGAGAUACCACCCAAAGACAGCCACCGCGGACUCAUUCCAAGUGUUCUUCCUGGGGGGGCUCCCUAGCACAUAUGUGGGCAAUUUCCCCUGUAUUGUUCUAUAAUCCUUGAUGGUUGCUCUAUAAUUGCUCUCAAAUGGUUUAAUCAUAAUAAAUAGCAUCUGCAGAGCAGUUUA